AUGCAUGCAAUCCUUUGGGCUUACAUGGCCUUGGUACUUGUAAGCCCAACAUUUAGCCGCUGUUGGGCCUGUAGGCUGUACCUGAGAACGUAUUCGAUUAUUCGGCCCGCUCGAAUUGUGCGAAAACACUCCCGGAAAUACCAAAGAUUACUCUCGCACCCUUUCCCUUCGUGCUCGACUGGCUUCCCCGUUCGUCUCCCCCAGAUUUCUCACGCCAACACCGCCGAGCUCUCCCCCGGAAGGCCGGAACACGCCUCCUGGUCUCCGUCCCCGGAGGCACGCCACCUCGAAAGAAUCCCCCCUCUCCCACUCGUCGUCGUCCUCCUCCGCCCUACUGGACAGAUCCAUCCGUGCUCGGAUCGCUUCCUUCUGUUGCGUGUGGCCAUGUCUUCUUCAAUGGAGUCAUCAUACCUUCCUGCUACUACUGAGUCAAUUGCAAUGGCUCAGGAGGCUAAGGAUGCUUCAAAGUCAAUUUCGAUCCUUUACCGUGUGAUUCAAGACCCGUCUUCUUCUGCGGAUGCACUGAGAACAAAAGAACUUGCAAUUACUAACCUUACAAAUUACCUCACUGAAGAGAGCAGAGCUGAGGAGUUGCGAAACCUUUUGACCCAGCUCAGGCCGUUUUUCUCACUGAUUCCCAAGGCCAAGACUGCAAAAAUUGUCCGUGGAAUCAUUGAUGCUGUUUCCAAGAUUCCUGGAACAUCUGAUCUCCAGAUCUCGCUGUGCAAAGAGAUGGUGGAAUGGACCCGUGCAGAGAAGCGUACAUUCCUUAGGCAGCGUGUGGAGGCAAGGUUAGCGGCACUUCUGCUAGAGAAUCAAGAGUACACUGAAGCCCUGACUCUCCUGACUGGUCUUAUUAAGGAAGUCAGGAGACUUGAUGACAAGUUGCUCCUUGUGGACAUAGACCUGUUGGAGAGCAAACUCCACUUCUCUCUCAGAAACCUGCCAAAGGCCAAAGCUUCGUUGACUGCUGCAAGGACAGCGGCGAAUGCCAUCUAUGUUCCACCAGCUCAGCAGGGCACUAUUGAUCUGCAGAGUGGAAUCCUUCACGCAGAAGAAAAGGAUUACAAAACUGCUUACAGCUACUUCUUUGAAGCAUUUGAAGCUUUCAAUGCACUGGAUGACCCAAGAGCUAUCUUCAGCUUGAAGUACAUGCUCUUGUGCAAGAUAAUGGUUAACCAAGCUGAUGAUGUUGCUGGAAUAAUCUCAUCUAAGGCUAGCCUAAAAUAUGUUGGUCCGGAUGUUGAUGCUAUGAAAGCUGUAGCUGAUGCCUACUCUAAAAGAUCUCUCAAGUACUUUGAAACUGCCCUCCGCGAUUUCAAAGCCCAGCUUGAGGAGGACCCUAUUGUUCACAGGCAUCUUUCCUCUCUGUAUGAUACCCUCCUGGAGCAGAAUCUCUGCAGGUUGAUUGAGCCCUACUCGAGAGUGGAGAUUGGGCAUGUUGCACAGAUGAUUGAAUUGGCGGUUGAUGAUGUUGAGAAGAAGCUGUCGCAGAUGAUUCUAGACAAGAAAUUUGCUGGUACUCUGGAUCAAGGUGCUGGUUGCCUCAUUAUCUUUGAGGAUCAGAAGACAGAGGCCAUCUUCCCUGCUACACUGGAAACCAUUUCAAAUGUCGGAAAGGUCGUGGACAGUCUUUACAUGAGGUCGGCCAAGAUCAUGGCUUGA
rnacentral:rRNA from 1 species